rnacentral:ribozyme from 1 species
AGAAAAAUUCCCAAAAAAUAAUGAAUUCCCACAAAAAUCCCAACAAUUUGUGACACCCUUCCCCUUUACACUUCUCCUUCUUUUAUUUAUUUUCUUCCUCUUCUUCCUCCUCA